CUAACACAUGCAUUUGAAGUAGAGGAAAAAAGACGGGGAGGUAGCUGUUUACAAAUAGCUGACCAACAGUUGAACCUGCAGUUGGGAACAACAGGACAAGCAUGAAGAGUAGAGGGCAAGGAAGCGUUGGCCUACAGGGAGCCAUGAAUUCCGUGGUUUCCUGCAUCUCUGCAUGCCUUGACAAAUGGAGAAUGCAUAUGGACGCGGAGCACAUGGAAGGUGACACUGGACUGCGGUCUACAAACAAAGACACUGCUCUGUGUUAUGAGCCCCCACCCUCAUUUUCUCCUUCCUCCAUGUCCUCUGGAACAAUGCAGUACAUGUCUGGAUGUCUUCCAUCAAUCUUAGCGAUGCAUCUGAUGCAGAAUGACAUGACAGCUUCUUGGUUGUCACCACUCUACAACGGUGCAACUCGCCUCUUAGUUAUUGGCUUGGCUUCUUUGAGUCCAACUUUGCGCCAAAGAAAAAGGACAUCUCAUGGGAAUUUGCCUCUUACUUUUCUGUAUGUACAUUCUUCUGUUUAGCUGUACGUGUUUUCAGCCAUUUUGGAACUUCUACAUGUAUAACAGCAAAUCCUGCAUCAGCAGAACACGAGAUGGUGAUGCUGUCACGACCAACGUUGCUUUGGAAAGAUUAAAACCUGACUACUGGAGCCAAAUUUUUAAGUGCAUUUUGAUAAGAUGGUUGUCUCAACGGUCUUGAACCCAUAUCAUCCAGGCCACUGGGGAUGAGUUUAUCGUCACAUCCCCUAUUGGCAGAAAUCCGUCCGUUUCCUUCUACUGACGUUUCAGGUACGCCAAGAAAACAGCAUUUUUUUCACCUCCAUAACAUUGCCCACAUCAGAAUGUGUCUAUCGACCACUGAUGCGAAGAAACGAGUUCAUGUUCUCAUCACGUUGUGUCUUGUUUACUGUAGUUGUCACCUUGGCUACCACCACUACUUCAAGUCUCAUUUGGCAUAUCUUGCCAGUUCAAAGAGUCCAGCUGGAGUUCUUUUGUUCAAGCUUUUGGCUAAGGCUGCG
rnacentral:lncRNA from 1 species